rnacentral:rRNA from 1 species
CGUGGGUAACCUGCCCAAGAGAUCGGGAUAACACCUGGAAACAGAUGCUAAUACCGGAUAACAACAGAUGAUGCCUAUCAACUGUUUAAAAGAUGGUUCUGCUAUCACUCUUGGAUGGACCUGCGGUGCAUUAGCUAGUUGGUAGGGUAACGGCCUACCAAGGCGAUGAUGCAUAGCCGAGUUGAGAGACUGAUCGGCCACAUUGGGACUGAGACACGCCCAAACUCCUACGGGAGGCAGCAGGU